rnacentral:rRNA from 9 species
AAAUUGAAGAGUUUGAUCAUGGCUCAGAUUGAACGCUGGCGGCAGGCCUAACACAUGCAAGUCGAACGGUAACAGAAAGCAGCUUGCUGCUUUGCUGACGAGUGGCGGACGGGUGAGUAAUGUCUGGGAAACUGCCUGAUGGAGGGGGAUAACUACUGGAAACGGUAGCUAAUACCGCAUAACGUCGCAAGACCAAAGAGGGGGACCUUCGGGCCUCUUGCCAUCGGAUGUGCCCAGAUGGGAUUAGCUAGUAGGUGGGGUAACGGCUCACCUAGGCGACGAUCCCUAGCUGGUCUGAGAGGAUGACCAGCCACACUGGAACUGAGACACGGUCCAGACUCCUACGGGAGGCAGCAGUGGGGAAUAUUGCACAAUGGGCGCAAGCCUGAUGCAGCCAUGCCGCGUGUAUGAAGAAGGCCUUCGGGUUGUAAAGUACUUUCAGCGGGGAGGAAGGGAGUAAAGUUAAUACCUUUGCUCAUUGACGUUACCCGCAGAAGAAGCACCGGCUAACUCCGUGCCAGCAGCCGCGGUAAUACGGAGGGUGCAAGCGUUAAUCGGAAUUACUGGGCGUAAAGCGCACGCAGGCGGUUUGUUAAGUCAGAUGUGAAAUCCCCGGGCUCAACCUGGGAACUGCAUCUGAUACUGGCAAGCUUGAGUCUCGUAGAGGGGGGUAGAAUUCCAGGUGUAGCGGUGAAAUGCGUAGAGAUCUGGAGGAAUACCGGUGGCGAAGGCGGCCCCCUGGACGAAGACUGACGCUCAGGUGCGAAAGCGUGGGGAGCAAACAGGAUUAGAUACCCUGGUAGUCCACGCCGUAAACGAUGUCGACUUGGAGGUUGUGCCCUUGAGGCGUGGCUUCCGGAGCUAACGCGUUAAGUCGACCGCCUGGGGAGUACGGCCGCAAGGUUAAAACUCAAAUGAAUUGACGGGGGCCCGCACAAGCGGUGGAGCAUGUGGUUUAAUUCGAUGCAACGCGAAGAACCUUACCUGGUCUUGACAUCCACGGAAGUUUUCAGAGAUGAGAAUGUGCCUUCGGGAACCGUGAGACAGGUGCUGCAUGGCUGUCGUCAGCUCGUGUUGUGAAAUGUUGGGUUAAGUCCCGCAACGAGCGCAACCCUUAUCCUUUGUUGCCAGCGGUCCGGCCGGGAACUCAAAGGAGACUGCCAGUGAUAAACUGGAGGAAGGUGGGGAUGACGUCAAGUCAUCAUGGCCCUUACGACCAGGGCUACACACGUGCUACAAUGGCGCAUACAAAGAGAAGCGACCUCGCGAGAGCAAGCGGACCUCAUAAAGUGCGUCGUAGUCCGGAUUGGAGUCUGCAACUCGACUCCAUGAAGUCGGAAUCGCUAGUAAUCGUGGAUCAGAAUGCCACGGUGAAUACGUUCCCGGGCCUUGUACACACCGCCCGUCACACCAUGGGAGUGGGUUGCAAAAGAAGUAGGUAGCUUAACCUUCGGGAGGGCGCUUACCACUUUGUGAUUCAUGACUGGGGUGAAGUCGUAACAAGGUAACCGUAGGGGAACCUGCGGUUGGAUCACCUCCUUACCUUAAAGAAGC